rnacentral:rRNA from 1 species
UGCGUAGGUGGUGGGGUAAGUCUCGUGUGAAAGCUCGCGGCUCAACCGCGAAAAGUCACGGGAUACUAUUCUGCUGGAGGGUUGGAGGGGGGACUGGAAUUCUCGGUGUAGCAGUGAAAUGCGUAGAUAUCGAGAGGAACACCAGUGGCGAAGGCGAGUCCCUGGACAACACCUGACACUGAGGCACGAAAGCUAGGGAGCAAACA